CCCGUUCCCAUUCCGAACACGGAAGUUAAGCCUGCCAGCGCCGAUGGUACUUGGGGGCAAUUCCCCUGGGAGAGUAGGUCGCUGCCGGAA
rnacentral:rRNA from 1 species